AACGCUAGCUACAGGCUUAACACAUGCAAGUCGCGGGGCAGCAUGAAUUUAGCUUGCUAAAUUUGAUGGCGACCGGCGCACGGGUGAGUAACGCGUAUCCAACCUUCCCCUGUCCACGGGAUAGCCCGUCGAAAGGCGGAUUAAUACCGUAUGAGGUCACAUGACGGCAUCAGAGUGUGAUGAAAGGUUUGGCGGACAGGGAUGGGGAUGCGUCCGAUUAGCUUGUUGGCGGGGUAACGGCCCACCAAGGCUACGAUCGGUAGGGGUUCUGAGAGGAAGGUCCCCCACAUUGGAACUGAGACACGGUCCAAACUCCUACGGGAGGCAGCAGUGAGGAAUAUUGGUCAAUGGGCGAGAGCCUGAACCAGCCAAGUAGCGUGCAGGACGACGGCCCUAUGGGUUGUAAACUGCUUUUAUGCGGGGAUAACGUGCACCACGUGUGGUGUAUUGCAGGUACCGCAUGAAUAAGGACCGGCUAAUUCCGUGCCAGCAGCCGCGGUAAUACGGAAGGUCCGGGCGUUAUCCGGAUUUAUUGGGUUUAAAGGGAGCGUAGGCUGGAGAUUAAGCGUGUUGUGAAAUGCCGCGGCUCAACCGUGGCACUGCAGCGCGAACUGGUUUCCUUGAGUGCGCUGAAAGUGGGCGGAAUUUGUGGUGUAGCGGUGAAAUGCUUAGAUAUCACGAAGAACUCCGAUUG
rnacentral:rRNA from 1 species